UACAGAGGGGGCAAGCGUUGUUCGGAAUUACUGGGCGUAAAGGCUCGUAGGCGGCCAACUAAGUCAGACGUGAAAUCCCUCGGCUUAACCGGGGAACUGCGUCUGAUACUGGAUGGCUUGAGUUUGGGAGAGGGAUGCGGAAUUCCAGGUGUAGCGGUGAAAUGCGUAGAUAUCUGGAGGAACACCGGUGGCGAAGGCGGCAUCCUGGACCAACACUGACGCUGAGUGAGCGAAAGCCAGGGGAGCAAACGGG
rnacentral:rRNA from 1 species